GGUGUGUAGCUCAGUUGGUAGAGCACUUGACUUUUAAUCAAGUUGUCCGGGGUUCGAACCCCCGC
rnacentral:tRNA from 1 species